AUGAACUACUUGUUUGUAAGAAUAAUCAUCAAAAUUUAUGCAAUAAAUGCCGCAACAUUGUUUAUCAAAGGAACAAAUAUGAAAGAAAGACAUUGCUUUGAAGUGAAGACGGAUAGAUCCCCUGGCAAACUACAGCUUGAGGUGCAAUUUCCUAACGUCCACAUUCCUAAAAAAAGGAAAUGAAAGAGACUCAACUCUGGAGAAAACUUUAAUGCCAGCUUUGAUCUCAAUUAGAAAAAGUUAUUCACGGAAAGUGCACGUUUACAUUUAGGAUUCAAGGGGGGAUAUACUAUGGAACAUUUAAUAAAAUAGCUGAGUAAAGAGUAAUGGAUG
rnacentral:lncRNA from 12 species